GAUCUUGCUAUGGGGUAUAAGUUACCCUUGAACACACAAUUCUCCUGCCUCUGCCUCCUCAGUGCUGGGAUCACAGGCAUGCACAGUCAUGCUUGGUAGUUCUUAUUUUUUGAACAGUGAUGUCUUAAAUGUAUUCCCAUAGAUGAAUCCCUGGAAUUUGUGAAUAUCACACUCAUAUGCACCUAAUUAAAUAUCCUUAAAAACAUAAGGCUUCCUAUGACUGGUUUCAGAAGAAGUCUGAGAGAUUAUAUGUAUGAAGAGAACUCGACCUAAUGUUGCUAGCUUAAAGAUGGGAAUGGCAGCAUGGGAAACAACACAAGUGACCUUCAGGAGUGAAGAGCUGACAGCCAGCCAAUGAUCAGGAACCUUCAUCUUAUAAGUGCAUGAAACUGAAUUCUGCCAAGAGCUUGUAUAAGCUUAGAAAGAAAUUUUCCCAUUCUCUGCUGGACUCCAGUAGAGUCCAGCCCUAACAUGACCUUAAUUUUGAUCUUAUAAAGCAAGGAACUCAGUUGAGUCAUAUCAAACAUCUGACCUAAUGAACUUUAAGUUAAAUAAUUUGUUGCCUUCAGCUAGUACAUUUGUGGUAAUUUCUUCUAUUUGUUUUUGGUAUAAUGAGUCUUCCACAAGAUUAAUGCUAGCUACCUAAAGUAAUGGAUACCUUUGUCUUAAAACAUGAAAAAUUUUAUAGUUGUCUUCUGUCUUUACAAACUCAGAAUCCUUUCUUUAAAUUAUCCUCAUAUACUAUUGCCUUUAAAAUUUU